rnacentral:rRNA from 1 species
AACGAACGCUGGCGGCAGGCUUAACACAUGCAAGUCGAACGCCCCGCAAGGGGAGUGGCAGACGGGUGAGUAACGCGUGGGAAUCUACCGUACCCUACGGAAUAACGCAUGGAAACGUGUGCUAAUACCGUAUACGCCCUUAGGGGGAAAGAUUUAUCGGGGUAUGAUGAGCCCGCGUUGGAUUGGCUAGUUGGUGGGGUAAGGGCCUACCAAGGCGACGAUCCAUAGCUGGUCUGAGAGGAUGAUCAGCCACAUGUGGACUGUGACACGGACCAAACUCCGACGGGUGGGAGCAGUGGGGAAGAUUGGACAAUGGGCGCAAGCCUGAUCCAGCCAUGCCACGUGAGUGAUGAAGGUCUUAGGAUUGUAAAGCUCUUUCACCAGGGAUGAUAAUGACAGUACCUGGAGAAUAAGCUCCGGCUAACUCCGUGCCAGCCGCCGCCGUAAGAC